GAAAGAGAUGUACUAUUCCAGUGACUGUCAGGAUUCCUUUGAUGAACUCUGCAUAUUGUAGAAGGCCUCAACAGGAUCUGGCCACUAAAUGAAGAACUCUAAGCGGUUAAAAAAUGUUGAGAAAAGUCUAGGUUGGCUUCGACCUCAAGACUGUCCCUUCUUCACCUCACAAGCAUAAUAAGGAUGACAGAUUAGUGCAACAAUGCACCCUGCAUGCGACCUUCUUUUAAGAGCAAAUGAGAUCAAGGAAAGACUCUCUACACUGAAGCCAAUCUUACAUUUCCCCUAGAGUUUACUGAAAAAGAAUGAGCAUAUUCACAAGGGAAAGAAAAAAAAAAAGCAAUUCCACAUUAG